ACGGAGGGUGCAAGCGUUAUCCGGAUUCACUGGGUUUAAAGGGUGCGUAGGUGGGUUGGUAAGUCAGUGGUGAAAUCUCCGAGCUUAACUUGGAAACUGCCAUUGAUACUAUCAGUCUUGAAUAUUGUGGAGGUUAGCGGAAUAUGUCAUGUAGCGGUGAAAUGCUUAGAGAUGACAUAGAACACCAAUUGCGAAGGCAGCUGGCUACACAUAUAUUGACACUGAGGCACGAAAGCGUGGGGAUCAAACAGGAUUAGAUACCCUGGUAGUCCACGCCCUAAACUAUGGAUACUCGACAUACGCGAUACACAGUGUGUGUCUGAGCGAAAGCAUUAAGUAUCCCACCUGGGAAGUACGAUCGCAAGAUU
rnacentral:rRNA from 1 species